rnacentral:rRNA from 1 species
CCUACGGGAGGCAGCAGUGGGGAAUAUUGGGCAAUGGGCGCAAGCCUGACCCAGCAACGCCGCGUGAAGGAAGAAGGUUUUCGGAUUGUAAACUAUUGUCGUUAGGGAAGAGAAAGGACAGUACCUAAGGAGGAAGCUCCGGCUAACUACGUGCCAGCAGCCGCGGUAAUACGUAGGGAGCGAGCGUUAUCCGGAAUUAUUGGGUGUAAAGGGUGCGUAGACGGGAAUACAAGUUAGUUGUGAAAUCCCUCGGCUUAACUGAGGAACUGCAACUAAAACUAUAUUUCUUGAGUGCAGGAGAGGUA